CGGAAUGAGAGAGCAGAAAAAAAAAGGAAAAAAGCAGAGACCAAGCGAGAAUGAGGAGAGAGAGGGUGACAGAGAAGACUACAGCUGCAAGGAGAGAGAAAUAGUAAGAAGAAAGUAGUAAAAUAAAAGAAAGAUAAGUACUUUGUAAAAGAAGUAUUGUGUUGUUAAUUAAAGCGAUGAAUAAUAAAUAAUUGCUUAAUUACUAUUAAAGUGAAGGGCAGACGUUUAAGUGAUUGUUAAGAGAAGAGAAGGCAGUUUUAAGUUGUUAUGCAAAACUUUUUUAAAGUUUUUAUUUUGCUACUUCAGAAUGAAAGGAGAAUGAGAGGAAAAUGAGAUUAAGAAAGAAAUAUGAAGCUUUUCAAGUAUAACGUGGGAGUAAAUUGGACUGAGGUAAAUCCUCAUUAAUCACCUUCCAGACGAAGGUCACAGGCUCAAGGUACCGGCAACUCGGGCAGUCGCCCGGGGCGCAAAGGAGGGUGUGACAAAGACAAAGAAAUUUCCUCGACCAUCAGCUAGUAGACGCCGAAGUUCAGCUUGCCCGAGACCCUUGGGCCGUCCCUGGUCACAGGUAUUUAUUGCAGAGAAUGCAUAUAUGGCCAACAAGUUCACG